rnacentral:rRNA from 1 species
AUCAACGCUGGCGGCGUGCCUAACACAUGCAAGUCGUACGAGAAAGUGGGGGCAACCCCAUAAGUAAAGUGGCAGACGGGUGAGUAACACGUGAACAACCUACCCUUGAGUGGGGAAUAACACCGCGAAAGCGGUGCUAAUACCGCAUAAAAUCUUCGGGUUGCAUGAUCUGGAGAUCAAAAGCGCAAGCUGCUUGAGGAGGGGUUCGCGGCUGAUUAGCUAGUUGGUGAGGUAACGGCCCACCAAGGCAACGAUCAGUAGCCGGCCUGAGAGGGCGAACGGUCACACUGGAACUGAGACACGGUCCAGACUCCUACGGGAGGCAGCAGUGGGGAAUUUUGCGCAAUGGGCGAAAGCCUGACGCAGCAACGCCGCGUGGAGGAUGAAGGCCUUCGGGUCGUAA